ACAUAUAUAUAUACACAUACAAAGGGGUACCCAAAAGUAACCGGAAACGUUCUCUGUGAGACAAACCCAUUGUAAUUCAGGCUUCUGCUGCUAGAAACCACUGGAUGUGACCCUCAGGCACCAGUCUGCCAACCAGUGUCCUUAAGCGAAGUCGUCCUGCCACGUGGUGUGACUUUGUUUUGCAGUGCU